UACGGGGGGAGCAAGCGUUGUUCGGAUUUACUGGGCGUAAAGGGCGCGUAGGCGGUCAGCACAAGUCAGUUGUGAAAUCUCCGGGCUUAACUCGGAAGGGUCAACUGAUACUGUGCGACUAGAGUGCAGAAGGGGCAACUGGAAUUCUCGGUGUAGCGGUGAAAUGCGUAGAUAUCGAGAGGAACACCUGCGGCGAAGGCGGGUUGCUGGGCUGACACUGACGCUGAUGCGCGAAAGCCAGGGGAGCGAACGGG
rnacentral:rRNA from 1 species